UCCUCUUCCCCACCCCCAAAAUUUCUGGAAACUUCAUCUUCUGAUCAAUGUCAUCAUCAUCAUCAUCAAACCCUAGCAGCGACGAAGAGUAUAGAUUCAGUGAUGCAUCAGAAGAGUUUUUCCACGAUUGCUUGCCGACCCACGACGAUUCUUACCGUCCCUCUUCCUCUCAUGCGGUUACUCCUCCCGCCGCCUCAAAUCUCCGGCGGCGGAAAUCUGUUCCUGGUCGGAAAUUGAAGUUUUCGGUUCAGAAUACGGGUGCUUCUACUUCUUCUUCAUCCUCCUCUGAAUUUGGGAGAACGAUAUUGUUAGAAAAAAGCGACGAGCUUUCUAUCGCUUGCGGGAAAAUCGAGGAAGAUGGUGAUGGAACUGAGUCAUUCAAUGACCCAUUCGAUUCGAUUCAGGCACAAGGGAAGGAUUUGAGUGUAAUUAAUCCGUGUGGAGAACAUGCUGAAUCGUCUGGGCAAAAAAGGGACGAUUUGGAUGGGAUUAAUUCGGGUACGGACUGGGUCGACCCGUUUCAGGUUGGGGAUAUCAUGAGGUCUGAGAAAACUGGGGAAUCCACAGUGACUACGGUGAGUGACGAACGAGUUGGCGACUCUGCCGAAUCGGCGCCGCCGCUCCGGGAGCCUUCCUCGACACAUUGGUCUCUGCUGGCGUGUUUGGUCGGACUAAUGAUCAAAGCGAUAGAGUUUGAGGUCAGUUUGAUGAUUCGCUUGAUGACGUUUCCCCCAUGGCUGUGUUAUACCUGCUGCGUCUUUGUUCUUGAUCCGUUUGGAACAAUGAAACGCAGCAGACGCUAUAUAUCGUCAAGGGUUGCAGAGAUCUGUGAUGUGAUGAUGGAUAGUGCGGAUCACUUCUUAUCUUAUUGGUUAAAAGAUUACAAACCCAUGUUGAAGGUUGUGUUCAAGUUUGGAUGGGGUUUGUUUUGGGCAAUUUAUGUCGGUAUAGUGUUAGUUGUCUUGUUGGUUUUGGCACUUCUGCUCAGUGGGUUUGUGAUGAGGCAUUUGACUGAGGAGCCACUUGUAGUUGAGGAGAGCUUGAAUUUUGAUUACACCAGGAACAGUCCUGAGGCUUAUGUCCCUAUAACGUCAUGUGUUGGUGUUGGCUGUGAUCAUAGUUGCAAGGAAAAUACUGAGACGGGGAAUAUUAAGGGCUUGCGGGUUAUUCCACAAAAUCACAAAAUAGAGAUCGUCGUUUCAUUAACAUUGCCGGAAUCCGAGUAUAACAGAAAUCUUGGCAUGUUCCAGGUUGGGGUGGACUUCCUAUCUACAGAUGGUCAAACUCUUGCUAGUUCAAGGCGUCCAUGCAUGUUGAAAUUUAGAAGUGAGCCUAUUCGUCUUGUCCAGACACUCCUCAAGAUUGUUCCACUAGUCACAGGCUAUGUUUCUGAAACCCAAACAUUGAGCUUGAAGUUCGAAGGGUUCGUUGAGAAGGAAACUCCCACUGCUUGUAUAAAAGCAGUGGUCGAACAACGGGCAGAAUUUCGUCCUGGAGCUGGUGUCCCAGAGCUCUAUGAUGCAUCCAUGUUGCUCCAAUCUGAGCUUUCUUUCUUCAAGAGGAUCAUAUGGAAUUGGCGGAAAACUUUAUUUGUCUGGAUCAGCAUGAGCAUAUUCGUCAUGGAAUUACUUUUCACAUUGGUGUGUUGCAUACCUUUGAUCAUUCCCAGAGCAAGGCAUCGAGACCGGACAGCUUCUAUGAGGAGCAAUACUUUGAAUCUGGACUGUCAAGCGGAAAACAGGUGAAUCUGAGGCUGUUCCAAGAAGGUGGGAAAUUCUCAAACCAAGUUUGUAUCUUUGCCACUGGUUGCUGUACCUCAUGUUUGUAGCACUUCAAAGGAACUAUACAAGGUUUCCAUACUGACAAGUUACCGAGAAAUUACAAAGAGGGACCGUAAAUUAAUGUGAGGAUACAAAAGUAAUCAAACA